UCAAUGUGUUAUAUAUGGCACGCCAAAUUCACAAAAAUGAGCUAAUCAUAGUUUCACAGUUGAUAAACUAGGUUUAUCGACUGUAAACUAUAGUUUAUCGACUGUAAACUAUAGUUUACAAACCGUGAACUAUAGUUAACGAUUCGUUAACUAUAGUUUUCAUCUGUAAAACUAUAUUUAACGGUUGUUAACUAUAGUUUACGAAUGCUAAUCUAAGUUUAUCUGUCUGUAAUUAAACGUUAACAAUAGAUUUUGUUGAUAAACAUAGAUUCACAUCUGUAAACUAUAAUUUACAAUCGUGAACUAUAGUUAAGAGUUGUUAAUCAUAGUUUCACAAAUCGUGAAACUAUAUUUAUCAGAUAAACUAUUAUAGUUUAGAGUUGUAAAUCAUAGUUUAC